CGUUUUUUUACUCCUACUGUCAUAGAUGCAAGAAAAAAGAGACAACCAAUAAUAUAUAUAUAUAUAUAUAUAUAUAUAUAAAAUCUCAAAUAUAAUUGUCCCUAGUAUGAUUUGAAUUUACACAAUCACAUUCACACAAACGUGCUAUUACUAUCUACUUGUGUAGGCUCUUCAGUCGUUAUGCUGAAUUUAAAAUGGCUCUUGUCUUGGGUGUUGUCCAACAGCACAGUGGGCCAAGUAGGGAAGGACGUGGGAUAGGGGACUAACUGAGCUUGGCUCGACCCGAGGGUUGUCAUGCAGGGCUGCUGAAAAUAAACUAGCCUUCUCCAAGUUCUCACCUAUCUCUUUCACACCCCUCUGGCCUCCUCCCUCUCUCUUUUUUACUCUUUCUCUCACCACUUCUAUUUUUUUUUGUUUACACUCAACAUCUCCCUUAAGACAAGAUGUUUCCAAACACCAAGAGCAGAUGUCAAAAUGAAGCGAUUUGGCCCACAGAGAGCAACGUGAUGACUAUCUACUAUUCCUGACACAAAACAUGAGGAGACUGACAGACAGGAAAGAGUGUGAGAAGAGGAUUUGCAGGAUAGAAGCUGAUUUAUCAUGGCUCUCAAGUUUGACAUACAGUACUGCUGUAGAUGAAAACUGCUCCCAUGUGAUGCUGUAUGGUUGCCAGGGCAGGAGCUGCCUCAGUCUCCUUGGGACCUCGUUCGGAAGCGUCUGAGCCAACGUAUUACCAUACAUCUUAAAGGCCUGUCAGAGUGCACUCUGGAUGAGAUGACGUACGACUCCCUGAUCCCUCUACAGCUGCUGCAGAACUAUGUCCGUCUGGUGGAACAGUACCAUAACGUCAUCUUCCACGGGCUGGAGGGCAGCUUUCAGGAGUACAUCGCCAACCAGAUCUCUCAUUAUAUCAAG
ensembl:lncRNA